rnacentral:tRNA from 1 species
GCGCCUGUAGCUUAACUGGAUAGAGCAUCUGACUUCGGAUCAGAGGGUUGGGGGUUCGAAUCCCUCCAGGCGUGCUA